ACUCUACGCCUCCGGAAGAUGUGCAUUAAUGGUUGGCUGUUAUAAUACAUAUAUGUAAGAUUUCAUGUUAUACCAGCUUAGCAGAACUUCACGGAAAUUUGCUAGAGGUGUUGCAACAGCCUUGAUCAAAUAUUAUUUUCAUUAUUCCUUCUUGGUUUGAGACAAUAACAGUAGAUAAUCUUCAUCGAAAUUUGCUAGAGAAGUUCCAACAGCUUUGAUCAAAUAUUAUUUUUAUUAUUCCUUCUUGGUUUUAGACAAUAAAGUAUAGAAUCUAAAUCCUUCUACUUUAUGUGUACUUGUAAUAGAGCAACGCUUGGUGCAGCUAGCUGCAACAAGGACCAACUUGACUUGAUGGGGAUACAAUCACCAAGAAAGAAUCAUACCUGAACUUACCUUUAUGCAUUGCACGAACUACCAAGAUAUUGUAUCUUCCUGUAUGAUCCGUAACUCAUAGACACAUGAGUAGCGAUGGAUACUAUUUGGAUUGAGCGAUCUGGCAUGUAAGCUUAGCUCGGUGGUUCAGAUUAUCACUGUUAGUCUUCUGGUCGUGGCAAUUUUUAGACCUCUUGAGUUCAGCCAUGUUUUUCACCAAGGAUUCAACUUGCAAGCAUCUGAAUCUUAUGUUGUCCGAUUCACUCUGCAUGUUAAUUCACAACUUGCAAGGGGCGAUGCUUUGCGAAAUGUCUGAACGAGAUAGAUAGAUAGAUAGAGAUAGAGAGUAUGUGAGUGAUGGAGCACGAUGUGGUCUUAAGCCAUUAGACUAAGGGGAGCUAAUUUUUUUCUCCCAUUGCAACGCACGGACAUUUUUCGCUAGUCUCUACCUAAUAAUAAAGCACAUAGGAUUUCUGCCCGUCCAUCAUGCCAAUUUGCAAAAAAGCCCCUACAUUUUCAUGAAAUCAACCCGCAGUCCAGAUUUAAGUCACACCGAACCGCUAUUUUACAGUUUUUUUUAAAAACCCUGACUUUUUAGGUAUUCCAUCCGCGGAUCAUAUUUAAGUCAACAAAUGCUUUUCUAAACCAUCCAUAUCUUUUAAACCGUAACUCCGAUUUAAACAUGUUAUAUAUGAAAUUUGCUUAAAAAAAUAUUUAGAAUAUGAAUAUAAGAUUAUUUUAACCUGUUAAGUAUUUAUAAAUAUUAUUUUGGAAGAUAUUUAAUUCAAACAAAUGGUUUUCUAAAUUAUAUGUAUCUUUUAAACCGUAACUCUGAUUUUAAUAUGUUAUAUAUGAAAUUUGAUUAGAAAAAUGUGUGAAAUAUGUAUAUGAUGUUAAUUUUACCUGUUAAAUAUUUUUUGGAAGCAAACUUAUAACAAUAGCGCACGAUCCAUUUUUCUUUCAUACAGGCGGCGAUCCGGAUUGCAAAUAAAUACCCACUAUAAUCAUAUAGGAAAAAGAAAACAUCGAGAACUACACAUGCAUACCUCUGAAUACGUCGCAGGGGAAAACAACAGAUUUCUCAUCGCGAGUGUGAGAAAGCGAGAGAGAGAGAGGGAGAGGGAGGGAGAGACGUCUUAGGAUUAAACACAUUCUAACACAUUUACAACAAUUUUAGAAAAUAAAUUCUUUGACGAAAACAAUAUUUUUAUUUGUGAAUAUUUCGCUAAAAUAAGAAUGUUCUUUGAAUGUGGAACAUUUUACAAAAUUUAAUUUUCAUAAAAAAUCUCAAGCAAUUUUGAAAAACACAAUUUUCUUAAAAACAAAAGGAACAUUUUUAAAAUGUUAAGAAAAUUCUGAAACGAUAUUUUUUUAAACCGUAACAACGCACGGUCAUAUUGUGGAGAUGGACCUAUUGUGGUCUUGAGUGAUGGUUGUUGGGUUAAAAGCGUGUGUUUUGUUUUCACUCCCAUUGUAACGCACGGGCUCUUUUGCUAUACAUAUAGAAAUACUUAGCGCAGAAGGAACCAAGGGCAAGGGGUGCAAUUUACCGGUUCCGUAUGCCAUUGCAGCAGCCGGGGAGAUGAGAUGACCGAUGAGACUACGCUUUUUCAUCGUCAUCCGCACCGUUCGUCCACCAUGAUUAGCCAGGUUGGCGCAGCCGUCGCGUAUAUCUAUUGUUGCUCCGUCAUUUUUUUUGGCUGACGUCGAACCUUAUGUUCUUAUACGUGCUCAACGCAGCUUAAGACAUCUACUAGUUGGCAUCUUCCAGCGCCUUCUUUCUUUAAUCAGACUAUAACCUGCACUGCAUCCCGCUAAUGCUCCCUUCUAGGAAGCUUAGGGCAGUGGUACCUUGUGAAACACGAAGAACAAACGCUAGCAACGCUGAAGCCGGCCGCCAAAAA